CAUAAAGGUUGGCAAAGACCUCCGAGAUCAUCCGGUCCCACCACCCCCCGGCCACCAGCUCGCCGCUCCCCCUCGGAAAGUGGUGCAAGAAUUCGCCUGGCAAUCACUGUUGUGUCAAAGACGUGGUGUAUAUGGGAGCAUAGAUAUUAGAUAUGCCAUACAUCAUGUCACCUUUUAAUGCUGUGUUUUAUUGGAAAGGAGAACGGAAUUAAGCUCCAGCAUGUCCCAGCACUGCUAAGACUUGUGCUUUUUCACAGUCUGGGCCUUCUUUCAGCUGACAUUAAAAAGCACCCAUAGCCCAGCCCUACCUCUGGGUCUGCAGAUGUACAGGCUGUAAGGAUGCACCAGCACUCCUUAACUGCUCCUAAAUGGCAAAAGAAUCUUAAUUUUCACCCCCUUAGAGACAAGGGAGAGAGGGAGGUGAUGCUGGAAAGAGAAAUGUUUAUGCAGCACUUUGAAGGCUAUUGUUGCUAGCAUCUGUCUCAUCUCCUGGGAUUGAGAGCUGGUUGGGGAAAUAGGAAAUGGGAUGGACUAAAUGCUAACUAUGAAGAACACAAAAGCAAAAUAACAACUGGAGUAAUGAGAGAAGGCUGGUACUGGCUGGACAAAGAAACUGAAAUGAGGAAGCCUUUGGGACCAUGGGUAAUUAGGGUCUCAGAGGCAGACUAGGGAAAGAGUAUGGUUGUGAGACAGGGCUUGACAUUUGUUUGCUGAAAAGAUGAAGGACAGGGAUUUGUGGCAUAAUGUGGGGAGGUGGUUGCUUGGCAACCUUAAUUCAGUCCCCUUAUGAUGCAUGUGUGAUCACAUUGUUUUUAUGCAGGAUUUCUGGCUCAAAUGUCGUGCAGGAUGGACCUGCUCAGGGGACACAGUAGGCCUGUGCAAGGAAGGCAGGUGAUGCCUGCAUAAGGAAGGCAGGUGAUGCCUGCAUGACUCCUGAUUCAUUUAUUGCUUGAGCUGAAAAGUAGUUAAUGAAUGAAGGAGGGUAAAGGAAGGCCACGUGACCGAAUUGUGCUCUGUUGCACAGGACUUUUCCUGCCUAUUGCUAAUAUAGCCACUUAAAACAGUUCGGUGUUUUAUUUAUUUAUUU